ACUCCUUCGGCCUCACGAUGGUGCUCCUUCUACUUUCUCUGUCAAGUCCAAACAUGAUAACACUUAUGGGAUUCAUGUUCUUUGUCAUUUCAGCACUGCUUAGCUAUGAAAACAUAUGCUGGAAUUUCUGGUUAGUUGUGUCUACAUCUUUGGUAUUGUUGGUCAUAAAUUUGUAGUGUCCUCCUAUGAGGUUUUUGGACAACAUAGCUAUCAAGCCCAUCUUUCUUGCACUCCUUUCCUAGUACCUUUUUUUCUCUAUUAAGCGGGUAAAUAUAACAUUUGUAGUGUUGGCUAAUUCUGUGACAAAGUCUGUGUGUAAAUUGUAAGUUUUUCCAUAAAUUCAUGGAUACACAUAAUUAAAGUGAUUUAAAAAAAAAAACCUUUCCAUGGAACAUUUUGUUGAAGGUAAUUUUAGGAUUUUAAUUGUUAUUAUUAGAAUUUUAAAUUAUUCAUUGAUUUCCUUAUAAAUUUAAUACGUGGUUGUAUCGUUUGAAGAUAUAGAUGAGAUACGAAGGAGUCAGCAUGCAUUCAUUAAUCCUGCUAUUACAAUUAUACUUCGCAUGGGUGCUGGUGGACAUGGUGUACCUCCUUUGGGAAGUCCU